CUCAGUGCCACACACCCAUGGUUCUGGAACACCUCCAGGCACAGUGACCCCACAUCCCCCUGGGCAGCCUGAGCCAGUUCAUCACCGCUCUGAGAACAUUUUCCUAAUAUCCAACCUGAACUUCCUACAAAACUUCUCCUUAUGGCCUGCAGAAGAAUCUCACAGGACACCAUCAGCCUUCAAUGCUAAAAGAAGAACUACAUCUCAGUCGCUCGAUGUGCUGCUGUUCUGAUCCCAGAGGACACCAUCCCUGGCUGUGCUCCAUUGCCAUCAGCAGAGCUAUUCAGACACCAGGCAGCCUUGAGCUGCAGUGCUCCUCAGCACUGGGAAGACAUGAAGAGACACCAACAGAACCCACACAAACACCAAAGAAGAGGAAAGGGCACUGGAGUGAGGCAUGCAUGUGACCCAGCAGCACUUGCCUCAGUAAGAACUUCAGAGUUAAGAAAGAUGUACAGGAACAAGAAGAAUUAGUGCUCCAGUGGGGAUUAGGGUAAGGAGAUCCUCAUACCUUGCUUCUCAUCAUCUGCUGGGAGAGGAUGUAAGUUCACAGCACAUCCCUUCCUCCUUUCCCCAUAACCUCCGCUCUGCCCGAGGCUAAAGCUGCACUAAUAAAAACA